rnacentral:rRNA from 1 species
ACUCCUACGGGAGGCAGCAGCGACGAAUCUUCCGCAAUGCACGAAAGUGUGACGGAGCAAUGCCGCGUGUGGGAUGAAUCGGCUCUGCCGUGUAAACCACUGUCAGGAGCUAGUAAUACUGAACAGCUCCAGAGGAAGGGCCGGCUAACCUCGUGCCAGCAGCCGCGGUAAUACGAGGGGCCCGAGCGUUAUUCGGAAUCACUGGCUUAAAGGGAACGCAGGCUGGCUCGAAAGCAUCUCGUGAAAU